rnacentral:pre_miRNA from 1 species
AUGUAGGGCAAUCUGUCUGUAAGUAGAGCUAAACUACUCUAAAAGAAAUGAAUCCUACAUGGUUUCCCCCUCAAGUCAAGUGUCUUGU